rnacentral:tmRNA from 1 species
GGGGCUGAUUCUGGAUUCGACGGGAUUUGCGAAACCCAAGGUGCAUGCCGAGGGGCGGUUGGCCUCGUAAAAAGCCGCAAAAAUAGUCGCAAACGACGAAAACUACGCUUUAGCAGCUUAAUAACCUGCUUAGAGCCCUCUCUCCCUAGCCUCCGCUCUUAGGACGGGGAUCAAGAGAGGUCAAACCCAAAAGAGAUCGCGUGGAAGCCCUGCCUGGGGUUGAAGCGUUAAAACUUAAUCAGGCUAGUUUGUUAGUGGCGUGUCCGUCCGCAGCUGGCAAGCGAAUGUAAAGACUGACUAAGCAUGUAGUACCGAGGACGUAGGAAUUUCGGACGCGGGUUCAACUCCCGCCAGCUCCACCA